rnacentral:rRNA from 1 species
UACGUAGGGGGCAAGCGUUGUCCGGAUUUAUUGGGCGUAAAGAGCGUGUAGGCGGCCAGGUAGGUCGGUUGUGAAAACUGGAGGCUCAACCUCCAGACGUCGACCGAAACCAUCUGGCUAGAGUCCGGAAGAGGAGAGUGGAAUUCCUGGUGUAGCGGUGAAAUGCGCAGAUAUCAGGAAGAACACCCGUGGCGAAAGCGGCUCUCUGGAACGGUACUGACGC